rfam:Bacillus subtilis subsp. subtilis str. 168 complete genome.
GAUACCUAAAACAAUGAAAGCCCUACCUCUCUUCCAUCCUUACGGCUCCUUGUCCGUGCCAGUGUGAAUCAGGAUACUAAAAAAAGU